UAGCAUUGUCAUCGCUCUGGGUUCCACCCACACUCAGGGUGAGAGGGAGAUUCUGAAGCUUUGUGUUUCUUGCUAGCUAGUCAAAGGUGACUAAUUCAUGUGGAUAGAAAAAUAAUACAUGCCAAAAGAAAUUUGAGGAACAAAUUCAGCCCUGAGACAGGUCACGGAAACAGCCCUCCAGUCUUCCUCAAGAAAUGUAGACUGAAUCAGCAUUUACCCACCCCUGGAAAAACGCAGGAGCUGCGCAUUCCUGGGAUCUCAGCAGGGCUUUUGGGAAGAGCAGAACUGGGCUGGAGUCACGGUUUCUGGGCUGACUCUAGAUUUUCCCCGGCUUUUGCCACCUGUGAUGGCUGGAGAGUAUCUGAAGAUGACAGCCAGUGUCCUUAGCUUGUGAAGAUUGGAUGAUGGCCGGGGCCCUCAGACCCCUUGGCCCCUCCUUAACUGCAGGUCUUCAAAAGCCCAACACCUGUUCGUCAUUUCUGUGGCUUCCCAGGGAGUCUUACUCUUCUGCUUCAAGCUGCUGGGUUUGACUCUGAGCAGUUUCUGUGCAGCCACAAAGAUUCUUAUGUGAGACACACUGCUGCUUCAGAGUGCUCCAACCCAUCUCCCCUGAUUAAACACUAACCAGGGCUGCCACAGCAAAGUGGCUCAAAUGGGUGACGUCAACAACAGAUUUACUUUCUCAUAGUUCUGGAGGCAGGUGUCUAGGAUCAAGGUGGUGGCAAGGCUAUUCCUUCUGUUGCCUCCCUCCUUGCCUUGUGGAUGACCGUCUUCUCCGCGUCUUUCCAAGAUCUCUCCUCUGUGCAUGUCAGUGUCCUUGCUUCCUCUUCUUAUGAAGACACCGGUCAUGUUGGAAUGCAACAGAAGAGAGUGCACGGCUUCUGAGGUUGCAGCUUUUGGGAGAAGCCAUCUACCAUUGAUGACAGACAUGCCGUGUGGAAACCAAACCAGCCAUGUGGAGAGGCUACCUGGACAGAGGCACAGGGCCAGCAGCAGCUGUGGAGACAGACAUGUGAGCAAAGAAAUCAUCUUUGAUGUACAGCCAAGUUGAGCCUUCAGAUGACUCCGAUUUCAGCCACCUUUGGACUGCAACCACAUGAAAGACUCUAAAUAGAAGCCUCCCAGCUGAUCCCGGUUAACCCACAGUGCUGAAGGGGAUAAUAAUAAAUUGUUGUUUUAAGCCACUAA
rnacentral:lncRNA from 1 species